GCAAGUCGAACGAACUCUGGUAUUGAUUGGUGCUUGCAUCAUGAUUUACAUUUGAGUGAGUGGCGAACUGGUGAGUAACACGUGGGAAACCUGCCCAGAAGCGGGGGAUAACACCUGGAAACAGAUGCUAAUACCGCAUAACAACUUGGACCGCAUGGUCCGAGUUUGAAAGAUGGCUUCGGCUAUCACUUUUGGAUGGUCCCGCGGCGUAUUAGCUAGAUGGUGGGGUAACGGCUCACCAUGGCAAUGAUACGUAGCCGACCUGAGAGGGUAAUCGGCCACAUUGGGACUGAGACACGGCCCAAACUCCUACGGGAGGCAGCAGUAGGGAAUCUUCCACAAUGGACGAAAGUCUGAUGGAGCACGCCGCGUGAGUGAAGAAGGGUUUCGGCUCGUAAAACUCUGUUGUUAAAGAAGAACAUAUCUGAGAGUAACUGUUCAGGUAUUGACGGUAUUUAACCAGAAAGCCACGGCUAACUACGUGCCAGCAGCCGCGGUAAUACGUAGGUGGCAAGCGUUGUCCGGAUUUAUUGGGCGUAAAGCGAGCGCAGGCGGUUUUUUAAGUCUGAUGUGAAAGCCUUCGGCUCAACCGAAGAAGUGCAUCGGAAACUGGGAAACUUGAGUGCAGAAGAGGACAGUGGAACUCCAUGUGUAGCGGUGAAAUGCGUAGAUAUAUGGAAGAACACCAGUGGCGAAGGCGGCUGUCUGGUCUGUAACUGACGCUGAGGCUCGAAAGUAUGGGUAGCAAACAGGAUUAGAUACCCUGGUAGUCCAUACCGUAAACGAUGAAUGCUAAGUGUUGGAGGGUUUCCGCCCUUCAGUGCUGCAGCUAACGCAUUAAGCAUUCCGCCUGGGGAGUACGGCCGCAAGGCUGAAACUCAAAGGAAUUGACGGGGGCCCGCACAAGCGGUGGAGCAUGUGGUUUAAUUCGAAGCUACGCGAAGAACCUUACCAGGUCUUGACAUACUAUGCAAAUCUAAGAGCUUAGACGUUCCCUUCGGGGACAUGGAUACAGGUGGUGCAUGGUUGUCGUCAGCUCGUGUCGUGAGAUGUUGGGUUAAGUCCCGCAACGAGCGCAACCCUUAUUAUCAGUUGCCAGCAUUAAGUUGGGCACUCUGGUGAGACUGCCGGUGACAAACCGGAGGAAGGUGGGGAUGACGUCAAAUCAUCAUGCCCCUUAUGACCUGGGCUACACACGUGCUACAAUGGAUGGUACAACGAGUUGCGAACUCGCGAGAGUAAGCUAAUCUCUUAAAGCCAUUCUCAGUUCGGAUUGUAGGCUGCAACUCGCCUACAUGAAGUCGGAAUCGCUAGUAAUCGCGGAUCAGCAUGCCGCGGUGAAUACGUUCCCGGGCCUUGUACACACCGCCCGUCAC
rnacentral:rRNA from 2 species